CAGGCCGCAAGGUGCUGACGAGUGGCGAACGGGUGAGUAAUGCAUCGGAACGUGCCCAGUAGUGGGGGAUAGCCCGGCGAAAGCCGGAUUAAUACCGCAUACGACCUACGGGUGAAAGCGGGGGACCGCAAGGCCUCGCGCUAUUGGAGCGGCCGAUGUCAGAUUAGGUAGUUGGUGGGGUAAAGGCCUACCAAGCCUGCGAUCUGUAGCUGGUCUGAGAGGACGACCAGCCACACUGGGACUGAGACACGGCCCAGACUCCUACGGGAGGCAGCAGUGGGGAAUUUUGGACAAUGGGCGCAAGCCUGAUCCAGCCAUGCCGCGUGCGGGAAGAAGGCCUUCGGGUUGUAAACCGCUUUUGUCAGGGAAGAAAUCUUCUGGGUUAAUACCUCGGGAGGAUGACGGUACCUGAAGAAUAAGCACCGGCUAACUACGUGCCAGCAGC
rnacentral:rRNA from 1 species